rnacentral:rRNA from 1 species
CCUACGGGAGGCAGCAGUGAGGAAUAUUGGUCAAUGGACGAGAGUCUGAACCAGCCAAGUAGCGUGCAGGAUGACGGCCCUAUGGGUUGUAAACUGCUUUUAUGCGGGGAUAAAGUGCAGCACGUGUGCUGUUUUGUAGGUACCGCAUGAAUAAGGACCGGCUAAUUCCGUGCCAGCAGCCGCGGUAAU